rnacentral:rRNA from 1 species
GUGGGGAAUAUUGCACAAUGGGGGAAACCCUGAUGCAGCGACGCCGCGUGAGUGAAGAAGUAUUUCGGUACGUAAAGCUCUAUCAGCAAGGAAGAAAAUGACGGUACUUGACUAAGAAGCCCCGGCUAACUACGUGCCAGCAGCCGCGGUAAUACGUAGGGGGCAAGCGUUAUCCGGAUUUACUGGGUGUAAAGGGAGCGUAGACGGUAUGGUAAGUCAGAUGUGAAAGCCCGGGGCUCAACCCCGGGACUGCAUUUGAAACUAUCAGACUAGAGUGCAGGAGAGGUAAGUGGAAUUCCUAGUGUAGCGGUGAAAUGCGUAGAUAUUAGGAGGAACACCAGUGGCGAAGGCGGCUUACUGGACUGUAACUGACGUUGAGGCUCGAAAGCGUGGGGAGCAAACAGGAUUAGAUACCCCGGUAGUCC